UCAAGAUAAGAUUUCCCUAGGACUUUAUGUCCUCUAAAGAGCCGUUCGAGACUAGGACGUUGAUAGGUUGGAUGUGGAAGCAUAGUGAUAUGUGAAGCUGACCAAUACUAAUUGCUCGUGAGGCUUGACUAUACAACACCCAAGCAGUUG
rnacentral:rRNA from 1 species